rnacentral:rRNA from 1 species
GACGAACGCUGGCGGCGUGCUUAACACAUGCAAGUCGAACGGGGUCCACCGCGUAGCAAUACAAGGGAAGACCGAGUGGCGAACGGGUGCGUAACACGUGAGGAACUUGUCCCGGUCUCUGGGAUAACAGUUGGAAACGACUGCUAAUACCGGAUGACGUCGGAGCAUCGCAUGGUGCGCUGACGAAAGGGUUACUGGAUCGGGAGAGCCUCGCGGCCUAUCAGCUUGNGGUGGGGUAACGGCCUACCAAGGCAUCGACGGGUAGCUGGUCUGAGAGGAUGAUCAGCCACACUGGGACUGAGACACGGCCCAGACUCCUACGGGAGGCAGCAGUGGGGAAUCUUGCGCAAUGGGCGAAAGCCUGACGCAGCAACGCCGCGUGCGGGAAGAAGGCUCUCGGGUUGUAAACCGCUUUCAGAAGAACGAAAUGACGGUACUUUCAGAAGAAGGUGCGGCCAACUACGUGCCAGCAGCCGCCGUAAC